rnacentral:rRNA from 1 species
GAUGAACGCUAGCUACAGGCUUAACACAUGCAAGUCGAGGGGUAGCAGGGUAGCAAUACCGCUGACGACCGGCGCACGGGUGAGUAACACGUAUCCAACCUUCCCAUAACUCGGGGAUAGCCUUUCGAAAGAAAGAUUAAUACCCGAUAGUACUUUUUCAAGGCAUCUUGAGAAAGUUAAAGAUUUAUUGGUUAUGGAUGGGGAUGCGUUCCAUUAGAUAGUUGGUGAGGUAACGGCUCACCAAGUCUUCGAUGGAUAGGGGUUCUGAGAGGAAGGUCCCCCACAGUGGUACUGCAACACGGACCAAACUCCUACGGGAGGCAGCAGUAAGGAAUAUUGGUCAAUGGGCGAGAGCCUGAACCAGCCAAGUAGCGUGAAGGAUGAAGGUCCUAUGGAUUGUAAACUUCUUUUAUAGUAGAAUAAAGUGAUCCACGUGUGGAUUUUUGUAUGUAUACUAUGAAUAAGGAUCGGCUAACUCCGUGCCAGCCGCCGCCGUAA